AUGAACGCUGGCGGCGUGCCUAAUACAUGCAAGUCGAGCGAACAGACGAGGAGCUUGCUCCUCUGACGUUAGCGGCGGACGGGUGAGUAACACGUGGAUAACCUACCUAUAAGACUGGGAUAACUUCGGGAAACCGGAGCUAAUACCGGAUAAUAUAUUGAACCGCAUGGUUCAAUAGUGAAAGACGGUUUUGCUGUCACUUAUAGAUGGAUCCGCGCCGCAUUAGCUAGUUGGUAAGGUAACGGCUUACCAAGGCAACGAUGCGUAGCCGACCUGAGAGGGUGAUCGGCCACACUGGAACUGAGACACGGUCCAGACUCCUACGGGAGGCAGCAGUAGGGAAUCUUCCGCAAUGGGCGAAAGCUUGACGGAGCAACGCCGCGUGAGUGAUGAAGGUCUUCGGAUCGUAAAACUCUGUUAUUAGGGAAAAACAAAUGUGUAAGUAACUAUGCACGUCUUGACGGUACCUAAUCAGAAAGCCACGGCUAACUACGUG
rnacentral:rRNA from 1 species